UGGAUUAGUAUAAUGUAAACUUAUUGACUGCACAUGAAGGUCAAGUAUAUUUAGAGACAAGGGAAUAUUUAUACUCCAUACAUUAACAUUCCGACCCUCUAAUAGCCCACCUGACUAUUAAGUGGUUUUUAUAUAAUGUGCAGUUCUAUUGCUUAGACACAACUUAUCAAAGUUCUAUUUUUAACUAUUAUAUAUUAUAACCGGAUAUUUACAUAAACCAGAGGAUAAUUAAAGUUUUCAAUAGUGACGUGGGUAUCUAAUUUUAAUGAAUGAACUACGCUCUAGUAGUUUAGGAUUGUCAUUUUACAGCACAGAUAUAGCUUAUACAUGAUAUGUUUUGAUACAGUUUUGAUACAGUGAAAAGAUUAUCUAAAUAGUUCGAUUGAAUUAUAAAAUAAAGCUUAAUAAAUGAGGUAAAUGCUUCGUGAAUGCUUAAUAAAAAAUAGAUGUAGAAUUGUGACAGGGAGACUAGGUUAGACAAAGGUAUUCAAGAUAAUACUUACCAGCAACUAUGUUGAUCAUUUUGAUCCAACUAUAUUGAUGCUAUUUCCGAAACUAAAAGCAAGAUAACAUUUCACCAUGGGGAAGGUAUUAAGCAAAAAAUAUCAAAAUGGUGAGGGAACAUCAUUUGAAGAAAAAAAGAGAGGAAUGAAUAGGUCUACAAGCAGAGAAUCCGGUGCGACAAGCGGUUAUUACAGUUUAAACCAAGAAUCAACUGUAAAGGGCGACCACGAGAUAGACUUUCAGCAGGAUCAAAUUGACUUAAAGGCUGGAUUAAACCUUGAAGAUAAAGAAAAAGUAUUGCAUAAUUUCCGCUUCCUAAAAGGAGAGCUUGAUGCUGACAUUUUAUGUGAUUAUUUUUACCAGGAUAAUCACUUCUCUACUGAUGACUUAGAAGAUGUGAAAAGUGAGAAAACGAGACAUGAGCAAGUGGACUUUCUUUUGCGCAAACUCUUGCGUCUGAAACCGGAAGCGUAUUUGAAGUUUCUUGAAUACCUUGAAGAUGCCGGUUACAAUUACGUACGCAAGGUCCUUGAGGAAUCAGUCUUUUCUUUAGCUUUAAACCAUGAAGACGUAACAGAAACAGAAGCAAGGUUAAGACUAAAACAGUUCCAAAACGAAAUUUGUGAACAGAUGCAGCCAGAUGUCAUUGCAGACAUGUUUCUGGAAUUUGAAGAGUUUACACUUGACGAAUAUGAAGAAGUAAUAGCAGAGAAAACAAGACGCAGGAAAUCCGAAAAGAUACUAGGAUUAUUGAAGUCUUUUAAACAUAUUGAGAGGGGAUUCUUGGUACUUCUGCAAGCGCUAAAGGAAACGGACGGACUAUACCUUUAUAGAUUAUUGAAAGAUGGUGGUGCGGCUUAUACAGCAAUGCAAGAUUCAAGACAUACAGUGAAUGUAAAAGUGAAAGUUGAUAAAGUAAAGAAAAGAGAAUCUAAAAGCAAAACUGCGUUUCUGAAAGAGGAAAAACAAUGUCGGGUUACGCUUGAAGUUGACGGCUUAGAGAGCGACCAAGACUUAGAAGUUAAAAUUACACGAGUGAUGCAAAAUCCUGACGUUAUCGUGUCUAUCAACGACAAUAUUAUUAUUGGAAAUGAAUGCUUAAUUGGUAAUGUCGAGCAAGGGAGCAUUGUGAUCAUUCUUAAGGGAUGUAAUGCGACCUCACUGCGGAGACUGUUUGCAAAGGAUGUAGAGAGGCCAAUAUCAGACAUUUUACAUCACAUCUUCAUUCAUCCAGAUAUCGUUAAGUUACUAACAACCAAAAAACUGAAGUUUAAACUGACUCUUAGUUGUCAGCCAACGGAACAAAAAGAACAGAAAAUUAACUUGGAAAGAAUUAAGUCAAAUCUCGAAUUUCUCGUCGAGGAGUUGGAUGCACUCACUUUCCUGAAGAAAUUGAAGGAAGAAAACGUCUUCUCAAAGGAGGAUGAGAAGGAAAUUUUGGAAACUACCCCAACAUCGCGCAAAACUCGAACAAGAGCAAUGCUACAGAAACUGAUUGAAUGUGAUGCCAUCGAGACUUUUAUAAACAUACUAAAAGAAAAGAAGGAGUAUGUUUGGAAACAUGUAUUUCAAUCUGGAGAGGCAGAAUACCUGAUGACACCUGCAAACAACUACGUCGCAUCAUCCUAUCGUGCACUUGCGGAAAACAUGAAUCCGAAACGUCUUGAAGAAUGCUGCUCUGGAUUAGACACGAAUUAUUGUUGGAGCAGAGAAAAGCAAGCCAAAUACAUCUUGCAGCAAGCCUUCGUACAAGACUUGAGCGAACAGUCACAAUUCAUCAAGAUGCUAUCAUUGUUUGAACAGAUUCCUCCACAAAUUGUGACACAAAGCGCAGCGAGUACGCGAAGGAAAGGGAGCGUUGUAUUGCGUGAGAAAAGCAAACCACCGAAAAAAGGCAAACGUAAAACUGACUCUGGUAUUGUAUUUGUAGCAGACUUCACCGUAUCUGCAGAAGAAGAGGAAUCACCAGAAAGGAAACGUGGCAUGUUAUCAUCUUUGAAAAGGUCACUGUCCAGACGAUCUGAUAAUACGGCAAGAAGAGAUGGGAGGAAUCGUGAUAGUGCCUAUUCUACUUUACACUCAACAAGCAGCACUAAUACAAUGAAUAACAUGCAUUCUGUUAACCCUAGCUAGUGUAUCCAGACAAAGCGCGUUCUAUUAAUCCUUUGUAGUGCAAAUCGCACUCACGUUGGACUGGAGUUACUAACGGUGUCGAAGUUACAGUACUAUGAAAAACAACAGAGCAAUAAAAAUGAAUUUAAGUGUUCUUUUUUGUACAUCAAUGUCUACAUUUAUAUAUUAAAUUAUUUAGAAACAUUGUAAGAAGCUAACUAGGUUAAGAGCCAAAAUGUUCAAUGGGUUGUUCGUUUUCACAUACCUGGUACAUUAAUUUGAUUUUUAUUUUUAAAAAGAAGAUAUACUACUUGAAGGCAUUUCUCAAGUAUGUAUAAUUUUACGAAAUUCGUAAGAUAUUCUUAUUUUGCUCAAACUAAUACUGUUGUAUAUGUUAUGUUUCCUACACAAUGGGUCAUAGUUAACUGAUAUCACUUUUGUUGUCGUCUUGGGCUUGGCCUGGCCUAAAGUGUCUGCGAGUUAUAUGUUUAGUGGUACAGAAUAUAAGGUACAGAAAAGUGUACAUUAUAGUAGUCAAAGAAUAUAUUUUCUUUACAAAAGUUUACUGAAAUCUUAUAAAUGUUACAUAAUUAUAUUUUAUAUUGCCUUCAUGUGAGGUUUUAUUGGAACGUUUAAUGCCUGCUACUACGUUUUGUAUAUAAAGAUAUCUAGGACAAAAUUAUGUAAUCUCAGCUGGUAUCACAAUUAUAGCUGAGAUCAUAUUCAAAGUUUCUAUACUUUUUAACUAAAUAUGGGCAAUUAAGUAAAACAAUUAGAUAGUGUGUCUCUCACCUGGGAUCACAUAUUCUUUUUGCAGAUUUUAACAAGUCUUUGAAGUGCUAAGAAAAUAAGUAUUUAUUUUUAACAGGUUUCCCAAAAUUCUACCUAGUACUCGUUUACAAUCUGUCGCGGUAAUAAAAUUUCAGUUCUGUUUCGUACUGUCUCAUAAAUAGCCUUAUCUAUUGGUAAUAUAAUUUCAACAAGGUUUAUAUAUAAUAAAAAAUACGGUCAUGUAUUUCUUUCAAAUAAAUGCAUGUCGCACAGUU
rnacentral:misc_RNA from 1 species